GACGCUGGCGGCGUGCUUAAUACAUGCAAGUCGAGCGAGCUACUUCGGUAGCGAGCGGCGCACGGGUGAGUAACGCGUAGAUGAUCUACCCUCGAGACUGAGAUACCUCCGGGAAACUGGAGUUAAUACCAGAUAACGCACAUUGGUUUGGUUUCUGAUGUGUUAAAGCGGUGCAAGUCGCACUUGAGGAUGAGUCUGCGGCCUAUCAGCUAGUUGGUGGGGUAACGGCCUACCAAGGCGAAGACGGGUAGCUGAUCUGAGAGGAUGAUCAGCCACAUUGGGACUGAGACACGGCCCAAACUCCUACGGGAGGCAGCAGUAGGGAAUAUUGCGCAAUGGGGGGAACCCUGACGCAGCGACGCCGCGUGAGUGAAUGACGGCCUUUUUGGUUGUAAAGCUCUGUAAAGAGGGAAAAAUGUUGUAGUGAAGAGCUGCAAUUGAUGGUACCUCUAAAGUAAGGACCGGCUAAAUACGUGCCAGCAGCUGC
rnacentral:rRNA from 1 species